ACAGACCAGAGUCUUCAUAACUGACCCCUGAGAGAAAGUCUUGUGUUGUGCGAAGCUGAAAAGCCGUCUUAUGUUUUGAGUGAAGCUGUACAGCGAUCUCUGGUUAUUUGUGAUUAAAACUCACGUGAACUGUGGAAACCGCUUCCCGCUUCCUUCUUUAUCUGCCUAACAUGAACUUUUGUUACACUGGUGCCAAAACCCAGGAUAAGGAGAAAGGUACGCUGCUAUGGAGUCGUCUUCGCCACUGGAGGAAAUGUUUUGAUCCGUCAUCAUCAUCCACAGGAGCAACACCAGACCCUCAUGGAUCUACGGGCGGAGCAGCAACAGCGCUUCGAGGCGCUCCUUCGAGGCCAAGAGGAGGACCGACGGGCUUUGCGGAGAUUGGGAGUUUGCACGUCGCGACCCUGGCAGCAGCGAACCCCCAAGUGACGCUGGUGAAUAUGGGGGCGCAAGAUGAGCCGGAGGCCUUUUUGGAGCUCUUCGAGUGCAUGGCCCAAGCUCUGGAAUGGCCACGGGUGCAAUGGGCAGUCCACCUCCUACCGCUGCUGACUGGGGAGGCCCAACUCGCGGCCCAACAACUCCUGGUCGACAACCUCCUGCGGUACCCUGAGCUGAAGAAAGCCAUCCUGCAGCAGGUCGGCCACAGUCCUGAAGAGCAUCGCCGGUGGUUCCGAACCCUGACGCUGAGCGAAGUCGGCCACCCGUUUGCCUUCGUUCAACAGCUCUGUGACACCUGCCAGUGGUGGGUGCUGGCCGAGGAGCCCAGUGACGUCGGGGGCGUCAUCGAUCUCGUGGUACUGGAACAAUUCAUCUCCAAACUACCAAAAGGAACUGAGGAGUGGGUCCAGUGCCACCGACCGUCGUCACUGGAUGAAGCAGUGCAGUUGGCGGAGGACCAUUUAGCGGCAUACCCGGGGGCCGGUGAGCCUCUCUCUUUCUCUCUCCUUGUCUUCCCUCCCCCUCCCUUCCUUUCCGACCCAUCCCGUUCCCCUGGAAAAGGUGGAACAGUCCCCCAAGACCAGGAUGGUCCUGUAAUACAGUGGGACGGUGUGGGGUGUGCAAUGUGCUGAUGGGGGAGGCGGAGCCAGGGCCGUCUAUGUCAGCUCCACAUCAGGAUGAUGUAAGGGAGGCUUCCCCAGCCCUUAGAGGAAUUCCCGCAGGGAUUUCCCUCUGGAGCAGACACAAGACUAGACUCUUAAGCACGCGUUAGACCAAGUGAAAGUAAUUGAUGGUCAGUGCCUUCAGCCUUGCAUUGCACUCACAUAUCCGUAUUUCUCAAUUAUAAAUGAUCGGUUGAAUCGAGUGACGCAGGACGCUCAGACAAAAGAGGAUACAACCCAGUUGUUAGUACCAAGGAGCCGUUGGGAAAUGUUGUUCCAGGCGGCUCAUCAUAGUCCAAUGGCGGGUCAUUUGGGACGGGAAAACACUAAACCGUCUCGCAGGGAUGUUAGCUGGUGAUGUGCGACAUGCCGCGAAUGUCAGCUGGUGAAUCUGCUGGUCACUCCAAAAGCGCCAUUGCGCCCUCUUCCAUUGAUCGAGGUUCCCUUUGACAGAGUUGGUAUGGAUCUCGUCGGGCCAUUAGAACAGUCAGCACAUGGGCAUCGCUUUGUUUUGGUUCUGGUGGACUACACAAUGCGAUACCUGGAAGCAGUGCCUCUUCGCAACAUCUCAGCACGUAGGUUUGAGGAGGCACUCUUCAGAAUAAUCUCCCGAGUGGGGAUUCCGAAAGAAAUCCUCACUGACCAGGGAACUACUUUCAUGUCACGUACACUACGUGAGCUGUACGAAUUAUUAGUGAGAGUUGGGGGAGAUGAAAGACGGCCAGUUCACAGAGAGAGGAGAGAGACAGACAGACCAGAGUCUUUGUGUCUGACCCCUGAGAAAGAGUCUUGUGUUGUGUGAAGCUGAAAAGUGGACUGUUUAUUUGAGUGAUGCUGAAAUGCCGUCACUUAUGUUUUAAGUGAAUCUGUACAGCGAUUGCUAGUUAUUUGUGAAUAAAACAGACUCACAUGAACUGUGGAAACCGGUUCCUGCUUCCUCCUUUAUCUGCCCAACCUGAACCUUUUUUACAUUCACAUAUUCUUUACUGAAGUCCAUGAUAUAGAUUUAAGGAUGACGUUAAAGGUACACAAAUAAAUAGAUGGGCAAUGACCCUUCAUAGUGUCACAGUCAGACAAUGAGGAAAGGACAUCAAGUCAGAUCAUUUAAGAUGUUGACUGUCUUUGUG